GACGAACGCUGGCGGCGUGCUUAACACAUGCAAGUCGAACGGUGAAGCGCCUUCCUUUUUGGUGGGUGUGGAUGAGUGGCGAACGGGUGAGUAACACGUGAGUAACCUGCCCCCUUCUUCUGGAUAACCGCAUGAAAGUGUGGCUAAUACGGGUUAUUCUGGGUCUGUCGCAUGAUGGGUCUGGGAAAGAUAUUGUUUCGGUGGGGGAUGGGCUCGCGGCCUAUCAGCUUGUUGGUGGGGUGAUGGCCUACCAAGGAGGUGACGGGUAGCCGGCCUGAGAGGGUGGACGGUCUAGAUGGGAAUGAGGCACGGCCCAGACACCUACGGGAGGAAGCAGUGGGGAAUAUUGCACAAUGGGCGCAAGACUGAUGCAGCGACGCCGAGUGAGGGAUGGAGGACUUCGGGUUGUGAACCUCUUUCGCCAGUGAAGCAGGCCUGCCUCGUUUGUGGGUGGGUUGACGGUAGCUGGAUAAGAAGCGCCGGCUAACUACGUG
rnacentral:rRNA from 1 species